rnacentral:rRNA from 1 species
GGGUAACGGGCCUACCAAGGCGACGAUCAGUAGCCGGCCUGAGAGGGUGUACGGCCACAUUGGGACUGAGACACGGCCCAAACUCCUACGGAAGGCAGCAG